rnacentral:rRNA from 1 species
CCUACGGGUGGCAGCAGUGAGGAAUAUUGGUCAAUGGACGAGAGUCUGAACCAGCCAAGUAGCGUGAAGGAUGACUGCCCUAUGGGUUGUAAACUUCUUUUAUAUGGGAAUAAAAUGUUCCACGUGUGGGAUUUUGUAUGUACCAUAUGAAUAAGGAUCGGCUAACUCCGUGCCAGCAGCCGCGGUAAUACGGAGGAUCCGAGCGUUAUCCGGAGUUAUUGGGUUUAAAGGGAGCGUAGGUGGAUUGUUAAGGCAGUUGUGAAAGUUUGCGGCUCAACCGUAAAAUUGCAGUUGACACUGGCAGUCUUGAGUACAGUAGAGGUGGGCGGAAUUCGUGGUGUAGCGGUGAAAUGCUUAGAUAUCACGAAGAACUCCGAUUGCGAAGGCAGUUCACUGGACUGCAACUGACACUGAGGCUCGAAAGUGUGGGUAUCAAACAGGAUUAGAUACCCCAGUAGUC